GAAGUAGUGAAGCAGAAACGGAAGAGUCAGGUGCUCCUAGACCGGGUCAGAGCUUUAAUGGCCAGGCCCAGGCUGCGCACGGAACCCUGCUGCAGAGGGGUCUUGAGGCUGUGGGAUUUUGAGAAGACCUUGGGCUUUUCCUCAUCUGUAUCAUCGGCUUCCCCCUGGACAUGCCCACCCUCUGGGUCCUGAGUUCAAUUCCUAACAACCACAUGGUGGCUCCCAACCAUCUGUAAUGGGAUCUGAUGCCCUCUUCUGGAGUGUCUGAAGAGAGUAAUAGUGGAAUACGCAUAUGCAUAAACAGUGACCAGCACAGCAUCCUUAGGCAUGGCCUUCCGUUCUCCAUCCGCCUCUGUGUGCUAACUGCAUUCCACACCUUCAGAGUCUACCGGCUGGAUUGAAAGGAUACCGGACAUGGUGGCGCACGCCUUUACUCCCAGCACUUGGGAGGCAGAGGCUGUCAGAUCUCUGUGAGUUUGAGGCCAGCCUGGUCUACAAAGCCAGUUCCAGGACAGCCAGGGCUACACAGAGAAACCUUGACUCAAAAAACCAACCAACCGGGGCUGGUGAGAUGGCUCAGUGGGUAAGAGCACCCGACUGCUCUUCCGAAGGUCCAGAGUUCAAAUCCCAGCAACCACAUGGUGGCCCACAACCAUCUGUAAUAAGAUCUGACUCUCUCUUCUGGAAUGUCUGAAGACAGCUACAGUGUACUUACAUAUUAAAUAAAUAAAUCUUUAAAAAAAAAAAAAAAA